rnacentral:rRNA from 1 species
CCUACGGGAGGCAGCAGUAGGGAAUCUUCCACAAUGGGCGCAAGCCUGAUGGAGCAACACCGCGUGAGUGAAGAAGGGUUUCGGCUCGUAAAGCUCUGUUGGUGGAGAAGAACGUGCGUGAGAGUAACUGUUCACGCAGUGACGGUAUCCAACCAGAAAGUCACGGCUAACUACGUGCCAGCAGCCGCGGUAGUACGUAGGUGGCAAGCGUUAUCCGGAUUUAUUGGGCGUAAAGCGAGCGCAGGCGGUUGCUUAGGUCUGAUGUGAAAGCCUUGGGCUUAACCGAAGAAGUGCAUCGAAAACCGGGCGACUUGAGGGCAGAAGAGGACAGUGGAAUGUAAGGUGUAGCGGUGGAAUGCGUAGAGAUAUGGAAGAACACCAGUGGCGAAGGCGGCUGUCUGGUCUGCAACUGACGUUGAAGCACGAAAGCGUGGGGAUCGAACAGGAUUAGAUACCCCAGUAGUC